GAUCAGACGGGUGGACCCGCCG
rnacentral:rRNA from 1 species